UACGUAGGGGGCAAGCGUUGUCCGGAAUUAUUGGGCGUAAAGAGCGCGUAGGCGGUCCGAUAAGUCGGCUGUGAAAGUCAGGGGCUCAACCCUUGAAAGCCGGCCGAUACUGUCGGACUAGAGUCCGGAAGAGGCAAGUGGAAUUCCCGGUGUAGCGGUGAAAUGCGCAGAUAUCGGGAGGAACACCAAUUGCGAAGGCAGCUUGCUGGGACGGUACUGACGCUGAGACGCGAAAGCGUGGGGAGCGAACAGG
rnacentral:rRNA from 1 species